UACGUAGGGGGCGAGCGUUGUCCGAAGUUACUGGGCGUAAAGAGCGCGUAGGCGGGCUCCUAAGUGAGGGGUGAAAGGUUCGGGCUCAACCCGGAGAGUGCCUUUCAUACUGGGAGCCUUGAGUGCGGGAGAGGCAAGUGGAAUGGUCGGUGUAGCGGUGAAAUGCGUAGAUAUCGAUCGGAACACCAGUGGCGAAGGCGGCGAUCUGGACAGAUAUUGACGCUGAGGUGCGAAAGCGUGGGGAGCAAACAGG
rnacentral:rRNA from 1 species